CUGGGCUGAUUGCUGAAACAUGGAGACAAAAGACACUGCCUUAGCUUCGGAGAGCACAGACCAGUCAGGAGACUGACCAAUAAGUGUACAAAGACCUACAGACAGGCAGACGGCCACGAGGUACCAAGAGGAAAAUGAGGAAAUUGGAUUUCAGACGGUUUAUUCUGGCAGCAGUGCUGCAUAAGCGUUGGGCCUGGAGGCAGACGCCAGUGAGGCAGGGGACCCCGGUUCGAUCACUGCAUGGGGAGGAUCCCACAUGGUUGCGGAGCAGCUAAGCCCGUGAGCCACAACCACUGAGCCAGUGCUCUAGAGCCUUCGAGUGGCAACUGCCAA